rnacentral:lncRNA from 1 species
UCUUUUAUUUUAAAUCACUGCAUUAAUGACUCACUGUUAAUGAUGGGAGCAAUUCAGUACUGAUGGGAUAGGGGAAAAAAGUUCAGAAAUCAUUUUUCUGCAAGGUUUUUAAUAGUAGGUCAGGUAAAAUGGAAAAGGGCAACUCUGCAGCAACAGCAGUGAAGAUAUAAAGAAGGGAAAGUAAGAGAAGCAAUAAAUAUUGGGAGGAAUAAAAGAAAUACCAUGUUAAGUUUGGAAAUUGAAGUUAAGAUAUCUAUAUGGAUAUCAGUAGAUUGUGUUUAGUAAUCUUUGGGGAAUAUGAUUUAGAAGCUCACGAGCAACAUUGGGCAUUCAUAUACUGAUGUGAAAAUCUUUUAUUAUUUAAAUUAGGAGACCUAAGCUUACAGUCCGUAGUCCAGAUAACUUGCAAAUGUAUCCACAAUUUAAGCACAUUUCAAAAAAUUGAAUAGAUUAACAGUUAUGGAUGCUCAUCUAUCAACAAGGAAUUUUAGAACUAGGUAUAAAUAUGCAAAAGUUCAGUUCACACCAUGUAUACAACAGCCAUAAUAAAAUGGGAAUUCUUUUACUAGUUAUUGAGUAAAAGAGACAUUAUAUGUUCCUACAAGCACUGCUCAAUGAAAUGUUUCAACCAGGUUCAGAAAUGUAUUCAUACAUCUAUUAAAAAUAAGCUUGUAGUUGAAUAAGCAAUGUAAAUAGUGGAGGGACCUCAAAGGUCAAAGAAAAUUAUAUUAGGACCAUGGCAUCAAGUUUACUACCCCACUAUACAUGAAUGAUACUUAAGUUUCUACAAAACUAAACUGAAGUUAAAUAUACUAUACAAUAUAAUUCUUAUUUCUUUGAAAGUAUUCAUUGGUAAUUUUUGUUAGCCACUUAUUCUAUCAACUAAUAAUGACAAUUUGUUCUCCUUUAACUCAUGUCUCACAUUUCUUCGCAUUGGAUAGAGAAGUCCCCACCACUGCUCUAACAAUGGUGUUAGAGGACUUAAUUUCUUACUUCUGAUGAAUGGGAAUAUAUGACAAAUGAAUGUUGGAGUUCCCAUCGUGGCUCAGCAGAAAUGAAUCCGACUAGGAACCAUGAGGUUGCAGGUUUGACCCCUGGCCCCUUGCUCAGUGAGUUAAGGAUCCCGUGUUGCUGUGAGCUGUGGUAUAGGUCACAGAUGCGGCUUGGAUCUGGCUUUGCUGUGGCUUUGGCGUAGGCCAGUGGCUACAGCUCUAAUUAGACUGCUAGCCUGGGAAUCUCCAUAUGCCCCAGGUGCUGCCCUCAAAAGACAAAAGACGCGCACACACACACAAAAAGAAUGAAUGUUAAUUAUAUCAAAUACCUUUUUCAUAUCUGUCCAAAUGAUCCUUUGGUUUUUCUCUAAGAUCUUUUGAUGAGAUAAAUUCUGUUGAUAAAUUUCCUAUUACUGAACCACCCGUGUACUUUUAGAAUAAAACUUAAAUAUGUUUAAAAUAUUAAAAACAAAUAAAAACAAAAUACAUCCACAUCUACACUGAAAUGAAGAAUAAAGUCAAGGUUAUUACAUCAACACAUCUGAAGAUACGGUCAGAGCAUAGGUAAAGGAAGGAUGAAGUAACCAAGGAAAUGGGGGUAUCAGCUUCCAUACCCUGAGUCUAAAUAGCAGGCACAGUGCUUCCUUGUACCUACAGUUUGAUAAACUAAAAUUGAAAGUAUGAUAUACCAUUAAAUUUUAACAAAUUGACUGGCAAAUGUUGUAUCCCAACAUUUCGGUUAACCCUAUUCUAGGAGGGAUAUACUGCAAAUGCCCUACUUAUAAACAAGUUCAAGUUCGACAGAAGAGAUUUGGAAAAUGAUAGAGAAACUGGAAAGAAAUUAAGUCAGAGUUCUAGCAGAUUUAGCAUGAGCAGGAAUUAUUAUUUGCCAGGGUCUUUAUUCAUAGAACAGUAUUUCAUAAUAAACAUGAAUUACCAAGCAUCUCUUUCAUCAGUAGAUCUUCUGUUCAAGAAGAACUGAUGGAGCAAGUUCUUUCUACCAUAAUCAUCCAUGGAACUGAGAUUAAGAAUUCUAUGAAUUAUCUGAUUGUCUAAAUACUGGCAAUGUUUCAUCAUAUUCAUUUAUGAAGCUGAUGAAAAAUGCUAUGAAUGAUACCAAUGACAACCUAUACCUAGGGUCUGAUUUUGAGAUAUUUUUUAAUUGAAAUACAACCACAAUUUUCUUAAUAGUUCAGUCUAUCCAUUGAAUAUUCUCUCAAUUUUUCUCAAAAUUGCUUAUUGACCAUCAGAAGCCUCUCCAUUCAUAUAUGUGCAUAAUUGAAAUGAAAAUCAUAGUUCCAUGUAUUUAUCAUUUUCUAUGUGACAUUAUCUCCUAUAAUACUCAUAAUCACACUUAAGGUAUUCUUAUUUCCAUUUUACACAGGAAAUGAGACUCAGAAAGGUGAAUAAUUGCCCAGGUUCACAAACAUGGUAAACAGUAAACACAGCUGAAUUUGAUUAAAACUUAUUGUUAAAUCACUUUUGAAUCACUCCUUUGAAAGGGUCACAAUUUAAAAUGGCUUGAAUAUAAGGAGCAAAAAAUCUCUCUAAAUGUUUACUCUAAAUCAAUAAAUAAUAUAUAGAAUAUAAUCACCGAAAAGAUCAUAUUCAAAGAACAAUAUACAGAAUAUAUUAAAUAUAUGUAAACAGAAUAUAUAUGUAUAUAAUAUACAGACUGAGAUCAUUGAAAGGAAAGCAGCAAAAAUCACUCUAAAUAUUAGCAGUUAUUGUAAAUCAAUAACCAAUAUGUAGAAUAU